rnacentral:rRNA from 1 species
UACGUAGGGCGCAAGCGUUAUCCGGAAUUAUUGGGCGUAAAGAGCUCGUAGGCGGUUUGUCGCGUCUGCCGUGAAAGUCCGGGGCUCAACUCCGGAUUUGCGGUGGGUACGGGCAGACUAGAGUGAUGUAGGGGAGACUGGAAUUCCUGGUGUAGCGGUGAAAUGCGCAGAUAUCAGGAGGAACACCGAUGGCGAAGGCGGGUCUCUGGGCCAUUACUGACGCUGAGGAGCGAAAGCGUGGGGAGCGAACAGG